rnacentral:rRNA from 1 species
GUCGAACGCUGGCGGCGUGCCUAAUACAUGCAAGUAGACCUGAGUUGCGAACGGGUGAGUCACGCGUAGUACCCUGCCUCAUAGCGGGGGAUCACGAUUGGAAACGUUAGCUAAUACCGCAUACUGUGAGAUGGACAUGCGUUGUAUUAGCUAGUUGGUGAGGUAAAGGCUCACCAAGGCGACGAUACAUAGCCGACCUGAGAGGAUGUUCAGCCACACGGGGACUGAGACACGGCCCAGACUCCUACGGGAGGCAGCAGUGGGGAAUAAUGGACAAUGGGCGAAAGCCUGAUCCAGCCAUGCCGCGUGUGUGAAGAAGGUCUUCGGAUUGUAAAGCACUUUAAGUUGGGAGGCGUUACCAACAGAAUAAGCACCGGCUAACUUCGUGCCAGCAGCCGCGGUAAUUC